ACAAAGCAUUGAACACUUCCAUUUUGGACAGUUUGGAUGCUAACCUGCUUACUGGACAACUUCAAAACAACUGGGGAUUAAUGUUGUUCCAUUCCCCUCCCCUUGCACGCAUCUGAAUUCUAAGUAUAGACCCAUGAUGAAAGAUUUCAAAGGCAAUAGCCAUUGCUCCAAAAUAGCCUGGUUAAUAUUUGCAGAGUGGUUCAGCUCCUUUCUCUCUCCUGUCUCUCAAAAAGAUGCUAUUCCUGUGAUUAAAACCAUUACAGCCCUUCAAAAGUUAUACCUGGCUUUCAGGCUUCAGCCUCAAUAGAAGCAGAACUGGUCAUUGCAUCCUACUACCCUGGCUGUGAGUGGAAGGAAGAAAGAGAAGACAUCACUGAGGAGCACCUUGAGACUAUCCACAGUGCUGGAUGAGGCCAUUCUUGGCUGAAUCUAAGGAAUCAUGAUCCUGUACACCAUGGUUCCUGAUGCUUGGUGAUCACUUUUUAUGGCUCUUCUUUCUCAUUUCUGUUACCCUGAAUGUCUCAAUUUUGCUGCUCAGAUAACUGAACAUGUUGUCCUCCCAUCAAUAAUCUGUAUCGAACCAGCAAGCUGAUGAGAGACACAUA